rnacentral:lncRNA from 1 species
AUCCCAUUACCAUAUUGUGGCGCAGCAACGCCUCGAGGUUGCUGUAGCCCAGAUGUCCGUAACGCCGAUGCCAAAGCGUUGCACGCUCCGUCUUGGAAUCCACAGCGGUGCACGUUGUACCAUGUCCGUUGUCACAGUAGCUCGUAUUCUGCGUCCUCCUGAUGGUGCCUGUACUUCCACCUCGAUAGCUUGGUCUGGUCUGGUGGCGCCACCUUGGUCUGGUCUGGUGGCGCCUUCGUGUAUAUGAAGGUUCCGGGUUCGAUUCCUGGUCAGACCCCCGACAUUGUUCGGGAGGUCUAGGUUUACUAACGCUGCUGAGGUGUGGAGAUGAGGUCUAGUUGAUGGACUAAGUUUCGCAUGCUGAGAUGGUGGUGGUGGCUGAUCUGUCUCUACGGAUGUUGGGUGACUGGAUGAGGAGGGGUCUAGUUGGCAGGACCCAAACCGCCGUCGGUCGUACGGUGUAAUCAACUUUCAAUACAUAUAGUCCAUGGCCUCCCGGCUUUGACGGACACCCCCGCACUCGUGCGGCACUUGUAACUUGUAACUUGAUAGCAAAUGGGGUAGAGAUCACCGUCCCGUUCACUGGUCAACACUCAAUGAUUUUGCAAGUAUACCUUUACUUGACCGUCACCGAAGACGAUGCUGCCUCCACGAUCGUCGAUGAUACGGACGGACAAAAUCUUUACCAUCGCCUCCUCGUCAACGUAGACCCUUUUGAAUGUGAUGGCUUGAUUGUCGUUGACAUUAGAUCGAAUGGUAAGUGAUCCAACCUCCGUCGGACGCAGUGACUGGUGUGAAUGCCCACAAUGCUGAAGCGUUCCCAAGGCUCCAACACACAUACAUAUAGUUCGGAUCGGGCGUAAGUUACGUGGUGAGUAAAUGCGGAGUCCAGAAACCAUUCCGUCGGACGCUCGUUGUUGAUGUUGAUGUUGUUACAGGGUGGUUAAGCUUCACCAGUGGCCUCCUUCCCGAGGCAAUUCCCUGCUCUCCCCUGCUAGAGGGGCACCCUAAGCCAUUCACCCCAUCCGACUUCAGAGUGUACUCUUUGAGUUUGGCAACUCACCACCAGCAUCCAACCAAAUCUAGCGGAUCAACGGCGCGUCAACUUAGUUCCUGGUCGGCUCGCGAGUUGAUUUUAUCACGUCCUACACCGUCCACAAGAUGGGGGGCCACCUCCCAUUUCAUCACCUCUCAAACACCCCGAGAGGUCGGCAGGCGGAUUUGAACCCAGACGCGCCGGGACGCGUCGGGAGCAGAAGCCAGGCCUUAACCUCUGCCGUUGUUGUAUGCCACGAAUGCUACCUGCCGCGGAACACCUGGCCCCCUAGCUGAUCCACCGGAUCCUGGCUUGCUGCCGCUAGCUCCGCUGCCACUGUUGUUGUAGCCACCCUUAUAUCCAGAAAUUGACGACUGCUUGAGCGCUUUAAGCUGCCUGCAGUUCUUUAUCACAUGCCCAGGCUUAUUACAGUAGUAGGCCCCGUACCUACAUUAACCCUAUCUAUUCUAGGGACAGCGAUUCAGACGACGAAAUCAUGCAGAACCUUUACCCCACCCUCGACCCGUUCCAGCACAACGGGUUGGAUGACUUCCUCACUAAGGUUUUCCAGCAAGGAGUUGCCUACCCUCUCACUAGGAACAACUUAUCUGUUGAGAGCCUCAAAUCGUACCUUGACGCACUGCCUGGUCGUAACACGCCAUUCGAGGCGUUAGGGUUUUAGGGUUUUAAACCCUAAAACCCUACAACUCCCACACACAUGACCUCAUAGCCAAAGCUGCAUCGCACUUCAGAGUAGCUGAACCAGGUUCGGCGGCCAACGCCAUCUCUCCCCGCCAACUAUACGACUACUACGCCCACAUUUUAGAGGAAAACUUUGCCUCCGCGCGCGCGGAAAGUGAUCUAGCGCGCUUCAAAAGCAUUCAGCAGGGAGCUCUU